rnacentral:lncRNA from 1 species
UAAUGCAAUCACUACAAAAUCUCAAAGGCACUUUUUUUCUAAAUAAAUCCAUUCCAAAACUUGAUUAGAAUCUCAAAGAGCUCCUGAUAGUUACAAUAAUCUCAGGGGAAAAAAAAAAGGAACAAUGUUGAAUGGCUCACACCUCCAAAAACAGUAUGACAAUUCCUCAAUAUUUCAAAAUAAAAUUGCCAUAUGAUUUAUCAACUAUAUUUCUGAAUAUUCAUGUAAAAGAAUUAAAAGCAGAAUCUAAAAGACAUAUCCCACCCCAUGUUUAUAGCAGCAUUAUUCAUAAUACCUAAGAGGUGGAAGCAAACUAAACAUCCAGUGACUUCACUUAUAUGAGUAUCUAGACCAAUAAAAUUUGCAGAAACAAAGAAGAAUUGUGACACCAGGGACAGAGGGAAAGGAGAAAUUUGUUAUUUAAUGGAUAUAGACAUUCACAUUUGC